AGUGAACGCUGGCGGUAGGCCUAACACAUGCAAGUCGAACGGCAGCACAGUAAGAGCUUGCUCUUACGGGUGGCGAGUGGCGGACGGGUGAGGAAUACAUCGGAAUCUACUUUUUCGUGGGGGAUAACGUAGGGAAACUUACGCUAAUACCGCAUACGACCUACGGGUGAAAGCUGGGGAUCUUCGGACCUUGCGCGAUUGAAUGAGCCGAUGUCGGAUUAGCUAGUUGGCGGGGUAAUGGCCCACCAAGGCGACGAUCCGUAGCUGGUCUGAGAGGAUGAUCAGCCACACUGGAACUGAGACACGGUCCAGACUCCUACGGGAGGCAGCAGUGGGGAAUAUUGGACAAUGGGCGCAAGCCUGAUCCAGCCAUACCGCGUAGGUGAAGAAGGCCUUCGGGUUGUAAAGCCCUUUUGUUGGGAAAGAAAAGCAGCAGGUUAAUACCCCGCUGUUCUGACGGUACCCAAAGAAUAAGCACCGGCUAACUUCGUG
rnacentral:rRNA from 1 species